UCACUUGUCUUUUAAAUGAAGACCUGNAUNAAUGGCACGACGAGGGCUCAACUGUCUCCUUUUUCAAGUCAAUGAAAUUGAUCUCCCCGUGCAGAAGCGGGGAUACAAACAUAAGACGAGAAGACCCUAUGGAGCUUCAGACACGAAAGCAGAUCUUGUUAAACCCCCUAAAAUAAAAGGCCAAACCAAAAGAAUACUGCUCUAAUGUCUUUGGUUGGGGCGACCGCGGGGAAAAAAAUAACCCCCAUGUGGAAUAAGAGAACUUCUCUUAAAAACAAGAGCCACAGCUCCAGUUAACAGAAUAUCUGACCUUAAGAUCCGGCAAUGCCGAUCAACGGACCGAGUUACCCUAGGGAUAACAGCGCAAUCCCCUUUUAGAGUCCA
rnacentral:rRNA from 1 species